UACGAAGGGGACUAGCGUUGUUCGGAAUCACUGGGCGUAAAGCGCACGUAGGCGGAUAUGUCAGUCAGGGGUGAAAUCCCGGGGCUCAACCUCGGAACUGCCUUUGAUACAGCAUAUCUUGAGUCCGAUAGAGGUGGGUGGAAUUCCUAGUGUAGAGGUGAAAUUCGUAGAUAUUAGGAAGAACACCGGUGGCGAAGGCGGCCCACUGGAUCGGUACUGACGCUGAGGUGCGAAAGCGUGGGGAGCAAACAGGAUAGAUACCCCGUAGUAGUCCGAGA
rnacentral:rRNA from 1 species